rnacentral:lncRNA from 1 species
UUUCGCUAUUUAGAGUAAGAUCAAUACCUCUGAUCUUAAAUUCAAGUUUUUAUCAUUAUUUUUUAUGAGAUUUUUAUUUUCAGUUGUUCAUUUUUAGACUACUCGUUUGAUAAGUAAAUGAUGCCGAAAAAUUAUGAAAUUCAGUUUCCAAAUACUUUCAAUAGUGUAGAUCGACUUUAACGGAGUCAAUCGUCGAUUUGGAAGCCGUAUCAUUGAAAACAACUUGACAACACGGAUGCCUCCGUGCUACCGAUAGUACACCAGCUUAGCUAUAUAUGAGUAGGGCGACUAUACUCUUAUGAGUAUAGAGUCCUUCGUACUCAUAUAUUAUUUUCGGUAAUGGAGCUUCCGAAUCGACGACCCACUCCAUUAAAUAUGAUCUAGAGUAUUUGAAACUUUUAGAAAAUAAAUUUCAUAUUUUUUAAAAAUCAUAAUAAAGUCCAUCAAUUUAGGUAGUGAAUAGAAUUUUCUAUUAAAAAUUCAACCGAUUCCGAUUCUUUUACACCUUUAAACUAGCAAUUGUCCCAUACCGGCCGUUAAAAAUUGUCAAUUUUGUGACAUUUUGAUCGUAAGGUAANNNNNNNNNNNNNNNNNNNNNNNNNAUAUACAUAUAUAUAUAUACAUAUAUAUAUAUACAUAUAUAUAUAUACAUAUAUAUAAUAUUCGAAAGAGGCUAAUUAAUUAAAAGGUGGCCGGUUUCUCUUGAAGCCGUAUAGCAGCAAGGGAAGAGAGGCAGCACGCAUGCGACAGAUUGAAGUCGGGGAGGAACGGUGGUUCUCGACCAAUUGCCUGAGCGGUUAGGAUUCUUUGAAGGAACGAUAUAAAAAAGUUUGGUCAGAAAUUUCUAUACUUCUCUAAUUUGGUCUUCUCGAUUUUACGAAAAACUUUUUCGAUAUUUUCUUAAAGUUUUCGUUGAAACAAGAGAAAUGUGGGAUUCAUUAUAAGGCUCUUGAUUUUUUAUCUAGAGAAGAUAUAAGGUGUUAAGUUUAUAUUUCUGUUUCUUCAUAUAGAGGAAUACGCCUCUUUUGUUCUAUCCGUGGACGUAGGCAAUUGCCGAAUCACGGAAAUCUUGGUUUCUUUUUUCUGCAUUUAUUUUUUUUACCGUUCGGUUGACUUUCUCUAUUUUUCGUGCAUCUUUGUUGGUAGCGCAUGAUGAACGAUCCAUCCAGUUCCCAAUAUAUUAUGCCUCUACAAAAU